rnacentral:rRNA from 1 species
GACAGAGGGUGCAAACGUUGUUCGGAAUCACUGGGCGUAAAGGGCGCGUAGGCGGCCGAUCAAGUCGGGGGUGAAAGCCUGUGGCUCAACCACAGAAUUGCCUUCGAUACUGUUUGGCUUGAGACCGGAAGAGGAUAGUGGAACUGCGAGUGUAGAGGUGAAAUUCGUAGAUAUUCGCAAGAACACCAGUGGCGAAGGCGGCUGACUGGUCCGGUUCUGACGCUGAGGCGCGAAAGCGUGGGGAGCAAACAGG